AUGAUGAUGUUGAUGAAUCUUAUACACGCAUGCAAAAGAGCUUUUGGUGUUUUCUUUAUCACGUGUAAAAGGCUUUGCCUCUGUCCCUCACUUUGCUUUUUUGAUGAGUUGCUCCCUAUGGUGUUUGGUUUUUGGAGUAACUCUUAUAUUUAUGCAAAAACAAAAGAGAGAAAAGAAAAUAAAAUGGAAAUUGAAAAUUUAUUAUGA